AGGACGAACGCUGGCGGUGUGCUUCACACAUGCAAGUCGAACGAGGUAGCAAUACCUAGUGGCGGACGGGUGAGUAACGCGUGGGAAUCUGCCUUUGAAUGGGGGAUAACGGGCCGAAAGGUCCGCUAAUACCGCAUAGGCCGCAAGGUUAAAGGAGUAAUCCGUUCAAAGAUGAGCCCGCGUCCGAUUAGCUAGUUGGUAGGGUAAAAGCCUACCAAGGCGACGAUCGGUAGCUGGUCUGAGAGGAUGAUCAGCCACAAUGGGACUGAGACACGGCCCAUACUCCUACGGGAGGCAGCAGUGGGGAAUUUUACGCAAUGGGCGAAAGCCUGACGUAGCGACACCGCGUGAGCGAAGAAGCCCUUUGGGGUGUAAAGCUCUGUCGGCUGGAACGAAAAAAAUGACGGUACCAGCAAAGGAAGCAUCGGCUAACUACGCGCCAGCAGCCGC
rnacentral:rRNA from 1 species